rnacentral:misc_RNA from 1 species
GAAAAAUGAUAACUUCAAGAACCCCGAAAAGAAAAAGGAAAUUGAGAAGCUGUUAAAUCCUAUAUCGAAUCAGGUGUUUGAUCAGUUGGUGUCAAUUGGGCGACUCAUUACUGACUAUCAGGAUGGUGGCGAUGCAUCAGUGUCUGCUGCAGCUGAUGGCGAUGAUGGUCUUGAUGAUGAUGUCGGUGUAGCAGUUGAGUUUGAGGAGAAUGAAGAAGAAGAAGAAGAGAGUGAUCUUGAUGUUGUACCUGAUGACGAAGAGGAGGACGAUGAUGUGAUGGAAGCCAGUGCUUCUGGUGCUAUGCAGAUGGGCAGUGGCAUUGAUGACGAUGAGAUGCGGGAGGCCGAUGAGGGAAUGACCUUGAAUGUUCAGGACAUAGAUGCUUAUUGGCUUCAAAGAAAGAUCUCUCAAGCUUAUGAGCAGCAGAUCGAUCCCCAACAGAGCCAAAAGCUUGCUGAAGAGGUUCUUAAAAUUCUUGCUGAAGGCGAUGAUCGUGAAGUAGAAACAAAGCUGCUGGUGCAUCUCCAAUUUGAUAAGUUCAGUCUCAUCAAAUAUCUUCUGCGCAACCGGCUAAAGGUAGUAUGGUGUACCCGUCUUGCAAGGGCUGAGGACCAAGAGAAUAGAAAGAAAAUUGAAGAAGAGAUGUUGGGGUUGGGACAAGAUCAUGUGGCUAUAUUAGAACAGUUGCAUGCUACUAGGGCUACUGCAAAAGAGAGGCAGAAGAAUCUGGAGAAAAGCAUUAGGGAAGAGGCUAGGCGUCUUAAAGACGAGUCUGGUGUUGAUGGUGAUGGAGAAAGGAAGG